rnacentral:rRNA from 1 species
UACAGAGGGUGCGAGCGUUAAUCGGAAUUACUGGGCGUAAAGCGUGCGUAGACGGUAGCGUAAGUCAGAUGUGAAAGCCCCGGGCUCAACCUGGGAACUGCAUUUGAGACUGCUCUGCUCGGGUGCGGAAGAGGGAAGCGGAAUUUCCGGUGUAGCGGUGAAAUGCGUAGAUAUUCGCAAGAACACCAGUGGCGAAGGCGGCUCACUGGCCCGGUACUGACGCUGAGGCACGAAAGCUAGGGGAGCAAACAGG